rnacentral:rRNA from 1 species
CUAUGGUUUAUUGGAUCGUGCCCGUUAAAUGGAUAACUGUAAUAACUCUAGAGCUAAUACAUGCCUCGAUGCCCUGACCCUGUCUGCUAUGCUGAUAGGGAAUGGGUGCACUUAUUAGAUCAGAAGCCAACCAACAGUGCGUGUACGGCUACAAAGUCGUGGCGUGCGUUGAGACACUUCUGGUGACUCUGGAUAAUUGUUACAGAUCGCAGUCGGCCUUGAGUCGGCGACGGGUCCUUCAAAUGUCUGCCCUAUCAACUUUCGAUGGUAGGUGACCUGCCUACCAUGGUGAUAACGGGUAACGGGGAAUCAGGGUUCGAUUCCGGAGAGGGAGCCUGAGAAACGGCUACCACUUCCAAGGGAGGCAGCAGGCGCGCAAAUUACCCACUCCCAGUACGGGGAGGUGGUGACGAAAAAUACCGAUGCGGGACUCCUUAAAGAGGCUCCGUAAUCGGAAUGAGUGGACUCUAAAUCCUUUCACGAGGAUCCAUUGGAGGGCAAGUCUGGUGCCAGCAGCCGCGGUAACUCCAGCUCCAAUAGCGUAUAUUAAAGUUGCUGCAGUUAAAAAGCUCGUAGUUGGAUCUCGGUAGCACUGUUGCCCGUCGGUAUUUGAGCGGCUGGUGUGUGGCUUAUGACGCGCGGUCUUAGCCUACGACGGUCUGCUAGCCUAGCGGGUGCGUCGGCGAUCUGGUGGUCCGCUUGGUCGAUGGGUUGGUCGGUCGGUCGGUCGGUCGGUCGGUCGGUCGGUCAGUCAGUCAGUCGCUCGCUCGCUCGCUCGCUCGCGCGCUUCCUCCCUCUCUGUCUCGCUCGUUGGUUUGCUCGCUCACCCAUGGUGUAUGUUUGAGUAGAUGGGCGGGUGUUGGUUGGGGUGGGUUGGGUGUGCGCGGACGUGGACGUGGACGCGGACGCGGACGGCUCACCUGUUCGUUGAUGUGCCUGCCUGCCUGCCUGCCUGCCGCAGCGUAGGGCGGGGCUGUGUUGUUGUGGCCAUUGAUUAGCGCUGUCGUGUCAAGCCGGCAGGGCGGUGGUGUCACCUUUGAGCCAUGUCUGUGGUGUAGCAGCCGCAGGUGUGGGCGGGUGUUGGACAGUGCUUCACACACGCUGUGGGGCCUGUCGGCUCGUCUGCAUGCCUUUGGAUGCCCUUCAAAAGGUGUCCGUGGGCGGAUGGCACGUUUACUUUGAACAAAUUUGAGUGCUCAAAUCAGGCCGAUGUUGCCUGAAAAGUUUUGCAUGGAAUAAUGGAAUAGGACUUCGGUUCUAUUUCGUUGGUUUUCGGAUCCGAAGUAAUGAUCAAAAGAGACAGGCGGGGACGUUUGUAUGGCUGCGCUAGAGGUGAAAUUCAUGGACCGUAGCCAGACAGACUAAAGCGAAAGCAUUCGUCAAGCAUGUUUUCAUUGGCCAUGAGCGAAAGUCAGAGGCUCGAAGACGAUCAGAUACCGUCCUAGUUCUGACCAUAAACGAUGCCAACUGACGAUCCGUGGUGGUAGUUCUUCAACCUUCCCCACGGGCAGUCCCCGGGAAACCUUUAAUNNNNNNNNNNNNNNNNNNNNNNNNNNNNNNNNNNNNNNNNNNNNNNNNNNNNNNNNNGCGGCUUAAUUUGACUCAACACGGGAAAACUCACCCGGGCCGGACACUAUGAGGAUUGACAGAUUGAGAGCUCUUUCUUGAUUUGGUGGUUGGUGGUGCAUGGCCGUUCUUAGUUGGUGGAGCGAUUUGUCUGGUUAAUUCCGAUAACGAACGAGACUCCAGCCUGCUAAUUAGUGCGUUCGUCCACUGCGUCUGUGUGGGCGGCGUUGGACGAGGCUGCUGCCGCGGGCGGAAAGCUUCUCCCUCUUCUGUUUCGGCUGCUUCCGUGUUCUUCUCCUGCUCUCUCCUCUUGCGGUUGGGGUCGGUCGGUCGGUCGGUCGGUCGGUCGGUCGGUCGGUCGGUCGGUCGGUCGGUCGGUCGGUCGGUCGGUCGGUGGGUCGGCUGGUCUGGCCGUGAGUGCGGGGCGUGGAGUUGGUGCGGCGUUGGAUAGUCGAGGGGUUGACGCUUGCGGUGGUUUGGUCAGUCUGGCGUUGGCUCCCGGGUGCGGCGCGAAUGCCUACUUCUUAGAGGGACAAGCGGGAGAAGCCGCACGAAAUAGAGCAAUAACAGGUCUGUGAUGCCCUUAGAUGUCCGGGGCCGCACGCGCGCUACAAUGACGGUGUCAACGAGUUAGACCUUCUGGCCCGAAAGGGUUGGGCAAACUGGUCAAUCACCGUCAUGACAGGGAUCGGGGCUUGGAAUUGUUCCCCGUGAACGAGGAAUUCCUAGUAAGUGCAAGUCAUAAGCUUGCGCUGAUUACGUCCCUGCCCUUUGUACACACCGCCCGUCGCUACUACCGAUUGAAUGGUUUAGUAAGGUCCUUGGAUUGGCACCAUUGUGGUGGCCGCCGAGAGGCGACCGCCCGCCAGGUGCUGAGAAGACGACCGAACUUGAUCAUUUAGA